rnacentral:rRNA from 1 species
AAGUUCUACCUUAAUGGAGAGUUUGAUCCUGGCUCAGGACGAACGCUGGCGGCGUGCCUAAUACAUGCAAGUCGAGCGG